UCUUUGUUAAUAAUGUGAGCCAACCGUUUGAGCAUGUUUGGUUGAAGAAGAGCGAGGAUGGUAAUUGUAAAGAGUAUAUUCACCCGCUGCAAGUGGCAGGCAUUCAAAUUGGCAACCCUUUCUGGUUUUGCUGAACCGUUGGGUGUUAUAAUUGUGGCGUAUCUAUUCC